rnacentral:rRNA from 1 species
ACGGUAGCAGGUAAGUACUUGUACUUAUGCUGACGAGUGGCGGACGGGUGAGUAAUGCUUGGGAAUCUGUCUUAUGGAGGGGGAUAACGACGGGAAACUGUCGCUAAUACCGCGUAGAAUCGGGAGAUGAAAGUGUGGGACCUUCGGGCCACAUGCCAUAGGAUGAGCCCAAGUGUGAUUAGGUAGUUGGUGGGGUAAAGGCCUACCAAGCCGACGAUCGCUAGCUGGUCUGAGAGGAUGGCCAGCCACACCGGGACUGAGACACGGCCCGGACUCCUACGGGAGGCAGCAGUGGGGAAUAUUGCGCAAUGUGGGCAACCCUGACGCAGCCAUGCCGCGUGAAUGAAGAAGGCCUUCGGGUUGUAAAGUUCUUUCGGUGACGAGGAAGGCGUGAUGUUUAAUAGGCAUCACGAUUGACGUUAAUCACAGAAGAAGCAC